AUGUCUUGUUUCAAGCUUACUCGUGGCCUGUGCGAGCACCUAAACUCAUUGAUUUGCAAGUUUUGGUGGGCAUGUAAGGAAGGAAAAAGAAAGCCUAGCUGGGUGUCUUGGAGCACCAUGACCAGACCAAGGCUUGGAGGACUAAGUUUUCGCGACAUUGAGCUCUUCAACCUAGCCUUACUUGCCAGGCAAGCUUGGAGAAUUCUGACAGACUCUACUUCUCUCAGUGCACGAAUCCUACGAGCCAAAUACUUCCCUUCGAGUGACUUUUUGCAUGCUGUACUUGGAUCGGCACCCUCGCAGGUGUGGAGAGCUAUCCUCGAAGGGCAUGACACCAUGACACAGGGCCUGGUUCACCGCAUUGGUGAUGGCCAAAUGACACAAAUUUGGCAACACAAUUGGCUCCCU
rnacentral:rRNA from 1 species